UACGUAGGUGACCAGCGUUGUCCGGAUUUACUGGGCGUAAAGAGCGCGCAGGCGGUCGUUCAAGUCGCGUGUGAAAGCCCCCGGCUCAACUGGGGAGGGUCACGCGAUACUGAUCGACUCGAAGGCAGGAGAGGGUAGUGGAAUUCCUGGUGUAGCGGUGAAAUGCGCAGAUAUCAGGAGGAACACCAAUUGCGAAGGCAGCUCGCUGGGACGUUACUGACGCUGAGACGCGAAAGCGUGGGGAGCAAACAGG
rnacentral:rRNA from 1 species